GUGAGGAAUAUUGGACAAUGGGCGCAAGCCUGAUCCAGCCAUGCCGCGUGCAGGAAGACGCAUCUAUGGUGUGUAAACUGCUUUUGUACGGGAAGAAACACUCCCUCGUGAGGGAGCUUGACGGUACCGUAAGAAUAAGGAUCGGCUAACUCCGUGCCAGCAGCCGCGGUAAUACGGAGGAUCCAAGCGUUAUCCGGAAUCAUUGGGUUUAAAGGGUCCGUAGGCAGUUUAAUAAGUCAGUGGUGAAAGCCCAUCGCUCAACGAUGGAACGGCCAUUGAUACUGUUAGACUUGAAUUACAAGGAAGUAACUAGAAUAUGUAGUGUAGCGGUGAAAUGCUUAGAUAUUACAUGGAAUACCAAUUGCGAAGGCAGGUUACUACUUGUGGAUUGACGCUGAUGGACGAAAGCGUGGGGAGCGAACAGGAUUAGAUACCCUGGUAGUCC
rnacentral:rRNA from 1 species